rnacentral:rRNA from 1 species
UACGUAGGGUGCGAGCGUUGUCCGGAAUUAUUGGGCGUAAAGAGCUCGUAGGCGGUGUGUCGCGUCGGCCGUGAAAACCUGGGGCUCAACUCUGGGCGUGCGGUCGAUACGGGCGGACUGGAGUUCGGCAGGGGAGACUGGAAUUCCUGGUGUAGCGGUGAAAUGCGCAGAUAUCAGGAGGAACACCGGUGGCGAAGGCGGGUCUCUGGGCAUUAACUGACGCUGAGGAGCGAAAGCAUGGGGGAGCGAACAGG